rnacentral:lncRNA from 1 species
UGUCUUUGUGUAGAACGAGGGGAUGUGAGGGGUAGCUGUGUGGUGUGAGGGUAUGGGUCGUAUAUAGGUUGGUAUAGUAAAUUUAGUAGUUGGCAAGGGAACAUUACAAGUGUGGGUAUGUUAAGUGUUAGUACGUGCAUUAUGGGGAGAUGAAUGUAGUUCAGGUACACAGGUUAAAAGUAUAAGAAAGCUUCAAGAUAAGGUGGGGGGAGUAAGGACAGGAUGAUGUUGUGUUGGGUCGGUAGCAUCGGGGGACGCUGAUAUUGGUUGUUGCUACAUAGGAAAAGUAAGUUGAUCGCCGAUGGUGGUAAUGGUCGGGAGACUCCGACGAGAAUGAAUUUGGUCGCCGAUAUUGGUGACGGUAAAUGAUGGUAUCUAUGUGUGUGGGUGGCCUAUUAGGGGUCGAGAGAUAGACGAUUUAUUGGUAGUCGCCGAUAUUGGUGACGGGUGUGAAUAUUUGUACGCUUGGGGUGACGUUAAUGGAUUGUCACACAUGGUAUGCAUGAUAUUUAAGAUACCGGUAUACGUUUUAAUCAUGCGUAGUCCCAUAAUGAUGACAAGGUAGACUUAGGUUGAGUGAUGGGGUACAUAUAGAAAUACUAGAUUUCAUAUUUGGUGCAUAUCAUAACUGUAACUUAAUUUUUAUUGUACUGAGUUAUAUGAACUCACCCUCUAUUGUUUACAAAUGAUGUAGGAAUGGAGUCGGGAUCGGAGUUGCUAGUUUCCGAGGCUAACGUAUAAAGCAACAAAAAAAGGAUCUUUAUGGACAGAUUGAAUGUGUAAAAGUUGGUAAUAGAGUUAAUAGUAUGUCUGUUGAUAGUGUAUACAGCUGUAUUUCACGUUAUGUUACAUGUAUGAUUGCCGGUUUAUCUUAACUUUGAACAACAGAUUGUGAUGAUAUAUCUAUGUGACUGCCUGACUUAAAA